ACUCCUACGGGAGGCAGCAGUGGGAAUAUUGCACAAUGGGGGAAACCCUGAUGCAGCCAUGCCGCGUGUGUGAAGAAGGCCUUCGGGUUGUAAAAGCACUUUCAGUAGGGAGGAAGGUAUGGUAGUACACUGCAUUAUUUGACGUUACCUACAGAAGAAGCACCGGCUAACUCCGUGCCAGCAGCCGCGGUAAUACGGAGGGUGCGAGCGUUAAUCGGAAUUACUGGGCGUAAAGCGCAUGCAGGCGGCCUGUUAAGUCAGAUGUGAAAGCCCGGGGCUUAACCUCGGAAUUGCAUUUGAAACUGGCAGGCUAGAGUCUUGUAGAGGGGGGUAGAAUUUCAGGUGUAGCGGUGAAAUGCGUAGAGAUCUGAAGGAAUACCAGUGGCGAAGGCGGCCCCCUGGACAAAGACUGACGCUCAGAUGCGAAAGCGUGGGGAGCAAAUAGGA
rnacentral:rRNA from 1 species